GGAUGUGGGGGCAAUCUGGCUGUGACAUCUGUCACUCCAGAGAUCGCCAGGGUUGAUUUGGAUGAUCUGGUUGACUAGAAGGGUGUCCCCUUCCUCCCUCACCACUCCAUGUGCAUCCCUCAUGAAGCUGCGUGCUGGGACAAAGAGGACAACCUGCCCCCAACAGAGACAAACUGCUCUUUGGUUGAGGGUAGACGAGCAGCUGUGCUCCGUGCUAGAACCUUCAAUCAAGCUCUCAAUUAUUAGUUAUUGUGACAUUUGUUUUUGUCAUUCAAUUAUUCUAUUAUGGUUUGGGGGCCACAAACUACAAGAGGGGUUUCUGUCCUUUAAA
rnacentral:snRNA from 1 species